rnacentral:tRNA from 1 species
GCUUUUGGUUCAGUGGUAGAAUUCUCGCCUGCCACGCGGGCGCCCCGGGUUCGAUUCGCGGCCGAUGCA